CUGAAGGCAGAGCUGGAAGAGGCAUGUCUCUUCCAAGAAGAGACAUUUGUGAACCUUGAUACAGAAGAUGCCUGCAUGCAGAUUAGGCAGCAGAUUCAACUGGGGACUGUCACCAAUUUCAGCUGCUGUCUCAGACUCAGGCAGAAGACUGCUGGCCCAGCAUCCCCUGCCGGAAGCCGCAAGUACCCCCCUCAAGCAAUAAGGACCGUCCUGCGCUAGCAAUAUCCCACCCACGACGAGGACAGCCUGACCUCCCCUGCGCACCUGCACGUGCCCACCCGCCUCGGUCCCACGUUGUCCUUAUAGAAGCCUGGAAGCAUUUUCGGCACCUUGGAGACAGUCUUUGAAACCCCAGUCCACGUCUUCCUGGCAUCAGCCUCGCUGAAGUAAAUUCCCUUCUUGUUUCACCUCCACCCGAAUCUCUGCCUUUGGAUGCUGCAGGCUGUCAGUGGCCCAGCCUGGCCUGUGUGGGGCCCCAGGGGCCCGGGGCCCUUGGCCGCUGCGCCCCCGCUGCGCUGUCCAUCAGAUUGAGGAUUCUCACAAAGCAACAAAGAAGGAAAAGCUUGUUCUUUCAGACCCAGACUUCAAGCCUUAGACUGUGAGCUUUUCAACAACAAGGUGUCUUCCCUACUCUUCCACACUCAGCCUGGAGACUGGUGCCGGACUUGGAAACAAAGCAGGUGAAGAAAAAGUGUUGAUUUCUUUUUUUUAAUGUUGAUUUCUUUUCUUUUUCAUUUUUAAUGUUUAUUUUUGAGAGACAGAUUGACAGAGUGUGAGAAG